CACGGGGGGCCUACGGGAGGCAGCAGUAGGGAAUCUUCCGCAAUGGACGAAAGUCUGACGGAGCAACGCCGCGUGAGUGAUGAAGGCUUUCGGGUCGUAAAACUCUGUUGUUAGGGAAGAACAACUCCCCGCCCGCGCGGGGCGGGCGGAGCGGC
rnacentral:rRNA from 1 species